UUUUUUUUUUUUCCUCUCUUUUUCACUAAAAUUGCCAAUCAAGCUCAUAUUCACAUGAGUAAAGCAACGAGCAGUCUCUCAGUUGGAUCAGGAGCAAAGGCACAGCAAAAAGUUUUCUUUGAUUUAGAAGUUGCUCAAGUUUAUGCAUGGUUAAUUUAUUGCUUAUAUCAAUGUCCAGCUUUAUUCGAUCAAGAAUGAAAAGAAAUAACAAAUUAAUAGUCAAGAAAUAGUUUGCUUCUAGAAGAAUUCCUACCACACCAACUAAAUCAUUAUUUUCCAACCAUGAAAAAUAAGAAUUGAAAAACCACUCAACCUAAAGCUCAAGCUCAUAGGUGAAAGUCCAAGAAUGCCACCUCUUGCCAAAGUCCAUUGGCUUCAAAAAUGGAUAAGCACAUUCUCACCUUUUCCCUGAGCUGACAUUAAUAACAUGGAGACAACAAAGAUUUAAUCUUUGGACCAUGUGAUCAAAGAGGUUCAAUGGCAUUACUUACAGUGCAUGCUUGCAGACGAAGUACCAACAAUAGGUUUCACAUUUCUAACAAUAACAACAAACUUCAAACAAGAAUACCUGCGGGCUAAUAAAUCAUUUAGUGCAUCAUCAUCUAAUACAGGGGCAGCUUCCUCUUUCUUACACUCCCGUAGAAGCGCCUCCAAGUAUUCCCUCCGGUCUUCCGCACUUGUAUUAUUGUCAAAGAAACCAGCAGUAAUGCUCUGAUUAGCAACUCCCAAUUUAUGCUCAGCUGAAGCUCUGACUUGUUCUUCAACGGUUUGG
rnacentral:misc_RNA from 1 species